AGAGAGCAAACUUGAAGCCCCCCUCCCAUCCACAACAGCUCCUGUCAGGCAACGUACCAGGAAAACCGAAUCUUAGCAAAAGGGUUUGAAUCAUCAUGUUAUUAUUCAGAGAGGCAGACACUUAGACAUUGCACCAUAUCUUCUGUCUGCAGCAGUAUCAGAAAUCUGGAUGUUCCAGUUAUACCAAAGAUACAGCUCUCAAGCUUUUGGGAAAUCACACUGUAGAAUGGCACACUGAACUGUAGAUGGGGACAUGGGACGAAGAGUGCUAUUGAUCUUUUGUUUGGACUUUACCAGUGAGAAGGUUUAUAAACAGCAACAAAGCCAUCAAGGACCAAGAAAGUACAAUGUCUGAGCAAGAUAAAUUGAGCCUGGAAAUAACCGAAGAAUCAGGAAAAGAACAGACCUCUACAAAAACUAAUCAAGCAGAAAAGGAUGAGAAGAUACAGAACCAACAUAAUAUGAGACCCAAGUCCCCCACUGGGAUUCCUAAGGGACCAUUGAUUUGUGGUUUUUUGAGGUUAAGACAGUUCUUCACAAGUUAGGACAAAUUUUAAAUGUGAGACCACAGUCUUGGUUAUCCUACCCUUCUCCAUCUUUGUGGUGUCCCAGGAUUAGAAAUGAUUUAGGCAGAUGUUUUGGGGACAACUCCACCUUCUCCUUUUCCUUUUCUCACUAUUUUCAGUUGAGUCCAAUGGAAUUAAUUUAUCCUGAAAUACUUAAUUGGUCACAAUGAAUUUUACCAUUUAAUCAAAUCACUAUGGGACAAUCUAUUUAUUAGCACUGCACUUUAUUAAUUCAUAAUCUAUUAAGGAAUUAAUUGAUUUAUUGAAAACUUUAUGAAUUGAAUUAACUAAAAGCACUGCACUUUAUAAACUAUUAAUUGUCUGGACUUAUUUAUUAAAGGGUCAUAUUUUAUUAUACCCAGUACUUUUAUGUACAUAGUUUUUUAAGGUACUAUCAAAUGCACUCCACUUAGUUUUUUAUAUAUUUAUUAAUAUAAAUGCACUAGCACUUUAAUACAAAAACGGGAUAACUGCAAUAUCGAGGUUAAGUUGGGAGUGGCAUUUAUCCUAAUCAA